CCCUUCCACGUGAACCGUUUUGUUUUGCUUUCGAGUGCUUUGUUGCGCUCGGAGCAUGUUUGGGCUUCGCUGCUGGCGCUUGAUUGUGCCGGCGGCUCGAGGCCAUCAAGUGGCGUUUUUUUUAGUGUGCUUGCGCAUUUUAGAACGUCCAAACCUUUUAAACCCAUUUGAUUGAAAACUGAAGUAUACUGUGGGGACGAAAGUCCUCGCUUUGAAACUAGAUAACAACUUUCAGCAGUGGAUGUCUAGGCUCGCACAUCGAUGAAGAACGCUGCGAACUGCGAUACGUAAUGCGAAUUGCAGGAUUCAGUGAGUCAUCGAACUUUUGAACGCAUAUUGCACUUUCGGGUUACGCCUGGAAGUAUGUCUGUAUCAGUGUCCGUACACUAAACUUGCGUCUCUUCCGUCGUGUAGUCGUCGGUUGUUUGAUUGCAGAUGUGAGGUUGUCUCGCGAUGCACCUUUAUUGGAUGGGUUGCGAGUCCCUUUAAAGUCGGACGCGUUUUUUCCGUUUUGUGCUUGAUGGGGUGCGGCUGCGGCCGUGUCUGCUGGCGGGUCCGGUGACCUUUGGCGAUGGCAUGAGAGUGGAUUGCUCGAUUUGCGGUAUGUUAGGCUUCGGCUUUGACAAUGCAGCUUAUUGAGUGUGUUCGCUUGGCUGUUGCUGUAUGGGUGAGCUGGAUGGUCGGUGGGUGCGUUGUUGCGUGUCGUUUUCAUGGAGUGCGUU
rnacentral:misc_RNA from 1 species